rnacentral:rRNA from 1 species
GAUGAACGCUGGCGGCGUGCCUAAUACAUGCAAGUCGAGCGAACAGAUCAGGAGCUUGCUCCUUUGACGUUAGCGGCGGACGGGUGAGUAACACGUGGGUAACCUACCUAUAAGACUGGAAUAACUCCGGGAAACCGGGGCUAAUGCCGGAUAACAUUUAGAACCGCAUGGUUCUAAAGUGAAAGAUGGUUUUGCUAUCACUUAUAGAUGGACCCGCGCCGUAUUAGCUAGUUGGUAAGGUAACGGCUUACCAAGGCAACGAUACGUAGCCGACCUGAGCGGGUGAUCGGCCACACUGGAUCUGAGACACGGUCCAGACACCUACGGGAGGCAGCAGUAGGGAAUCUUCCGCGAUGGGCGAAAGCCUGACGGAGCAACGCCGCGUGAGUGAUGAAGGUCUUCGGAUCGUAAAACGCUGUUAUUAGGGAAGAACAAAUGUGUAAGUAACUGUGCACGUCUUGACGGUACCUAAUCAGAAAGCCACGGCUAACUACGUG